rnacentral:rRNA from 1 species
AGAGUUUGAUCCUGGCUCAGGAUGAACGCUGGCGGUAUGCUUAACACGUGCAAGUCGGACGGGAAGUGGUGUUUCCAGUGGCAGACGGGUGAGUAACGCGUAAGAACCUGCCCUUGGGAGGGGAACAAUAGCUGGAAAUGACUGCUAAUACCCCAUAGGCUGAGGAGAAAAAGGGGGAAUCUGCCCAAGGAGGGGCUCGCGUCUGAUUAGUUAGUUGGUGAGGCAAUGGCUUACCAAGGCGACGAUCAGUAGCUGGUCUGAGAGGGUGAUCAACCACGCUGGGACUGAGACAUGGCCCAGACUCCUACGGGAGGAAGCAGUGGGGAAUUUUCUGCAAUGGGCGACAGCCUGAUGGAGCAAUGCCGCGUGAAGGCAAAAGGCCCACGAGUCAUGAACUUCUUUUCUCGGAGAAGAAAAAUGACGGUCUCUGAGGAAUAAGCAUCAGCUAAAUCUGUGCCAGCAGCCGCGGUAAU